CUUGGUACAUUUGUUGCUGACCU
rnacentral:miRNA from 1 species